rnacentral:rRNA from 1 species
UCAAGCUACUAAGGGCGUACGGUGAAUGCCUUGGCUUCAGUAGGCGAUGAAGGACGUGAUAAGCUGCGAUAAGCUUCGGUGAGGGGCAAAUACCCGUUAUCAACCGGAGAUUUCCGAAUGGGAAAACCCAGCAGAGGUAAUGCUCUGUUAUCAGUGUGUGAAUUAAAUAGCGCAUUGAGGCGAUACCCGGUGAAUUGAAACAUCUUAGUAACCGGAGGAAAAGAAAACAAUAGUGAUUCCGUAAGUAGUGGCGAGCGAACGCGGAACAGCCCAAAACACCUUGUUUACAGGGUGUGGUGUGGACCACGACGUGGUACUCGAAUAGAUAGCAGAACCGUUUGGAAAGACGGGCCAUAGCGGGUGAUAGCCCCUUAAGCGAAAUCUUGACGAGACCUAGUGGUAUCCCGAGUAGGUCGGAACACGUGAAACUCUGACUGAAUACAGGAGGCCCACCUCCUAAGGCUAAAUACUAACUGAAGACCGAUAGUGAACUAGUACCGUGAGGGAAAGGUGAAAAGAACCCCUUUUAGGGGAGUGAAAUAGAACCUGAAACCGUACGCUUACAAACUGUGGUAGCCCUUCGGGGUGGCCGCAUGCCUUUUGCAUAAUGAGUCUGCGACUUACCGUAUGUGGCAAGGUUAAGCAUCUUUCGAUGUGGAGCCGAAGCGAAAGCGAGUGUUAAUAGCGCGAUUUAGUCGCCUGCGGUAGACCCGAAACCUGGUGAGCUACCCAUGGACAGGAUGAAGCUUCUUUAAACGGAAGUGGAAGACCGAACCAGUACGUGUUGAAAAACGUUUGGAUGAUCUGUGGGUCGGAGUGAAAGGCUAACCAAACCAGGUGAUAGCUGGUUCUCCCCGAAAUACCUUGAGGGAUAGCCUCGACGAAUGCAAUUCACGGAGGUAGAGCACUGAGUACUUGAUGGUCCCUCCCGGGAUACUGAGAGUUUUCAAACUCCGAAUACCGUGAACGUCACGUCGGGAGUCAGACUGCGGGGGAUAAGCUCCGUAGUCGAGAGGGAAACAGCCCAGACCGCCAGCUAAGGCCCCUAAAUGAUAGUUAAGUGGAGAAGGAUGUUAGAUUGCGAAGACAGCUAGGAUGUUGGCUUAGAAGCAGCCACCAUUUAAACAAAGCGUAAUAGCUGACUAGUCGAGUGGUUUAGCGCCGAAAAUGAUCGGGGCUCAAACUAUCUGCCGAAGCUGCGGGUUUUAACUACUGUUAAAGCAGUAGGGGAGCGUUGUGUACCGGGUUGAAGGGAACGGGGAACCGAACCUGGACUGUACACAAGUGAUUAUGCAGACAUGAGUAACGAUAAGGGGAGUGAGAAUCUCCCCCGCCGAAAUCCUAAGGGUUCCUGGGGAAGGUUCGUCCGCCCAGGGUUAGUCGGCCCCUAAGGCGAGGCCGAAAGGCGUAGUCGAUGGGAAACGGGUUUAAUAUUCCCGUACCGCUGUACACGAGUGAUGGAGGGACGCAGUAGGCUAAUUCAGCCGGCGAUUGGAAAUGCCGGUCUAAGCGUGUAGGGUAUUCCGUAGGUAAAUCCGCGGAUGUUUGCCUGAGACGCGAUGGGACAUGGAGCCUCCGGGUGAUGUGGAUUGGAUGAUGCCAGGCUGCCGAGAAAAGCUUCUAAACGUUGAAUGUAAAGCGACCGUACCAAAACCGACACAGGUAGGAGGGUAGAGUAUACCAAGGCGCGCGAGAGAAAGGUUGUUAAGGAACUCGGCAAAUUAACCCCGUAUCUUCGGAAGAAGGGGUCCUCGAGUUGGCUAACAAUUUACUUGUGAUGUUAAUUCGAGGCGCAGUGAAGAGGCGAAGGCGACUGUUUAUCAAAAACAUAGCACUAUGCUAACUCGCAAGAGGAUGUAUAUGGUGUGACACGUGACCAAUGCCAAAAGGUUAAGGCAAGGGGUUAGGACUUGUUCCGAAGCUCUGAACCGAAGCCCUGGUGAAUGUCGGCCGUAACUAUAACGGUCCUAAGGUAGCGAAAUUCCUUGUCGGGUAAGUUCCGACCUGCACGAAUCGUGUAACGAUCUUCGCACUGUCUCAACAACCAUCUCGGUGAAGUUGUAGUUCCGGUGAAAAUGCCGGAUACCCGCGGCAGGACGGAAAGACCCCGUGAACCUUUACUGUGACCUGACAUUGGACUUUGAUAUGUCGUAUGUAGGAUAGCUGGGAGGCUUUGAAGCAUUCUCGUCAGGGGAUGUGGAGCCAUUGGUGAAAUACCAGUUUCGGUUUAUUGAAUUUCUAACCACGAACCCUUGAAUCAGGGCGUGGAACAGUGUCUGGGAGUCAGUUUGACUGGGGCGGUUUCCUCCCAAAGAGUAACGGAGGAGCACAAAGGUACCCUCAGCAUGGUCAGCAAUCAUGCGUAGAGCGUAUAGGUAUAAGGGUGCUUGACUGCGAGACCCACAAGUCGAGCAGGUGCGAAAGCAGGUCUAAGUGAUCCGGUGGUAGCUAGUGGUAGCGCCAUCGCUUAACGGAUAAAAGGUACUCCGGGGAUAACAGGCUGAUGAUUGCCAAGAGUCCACAUCGACGCAAUCGUUUGGCACCUCGAUGUCGGCUCAUCGCAUCCUGGGGCUGGAGAAGGUCCCAAGGGUUGGGCUGUUCGCCCAUUAAAGCGGUACGCGAGCUGGGUUCAGAACGUCGUGAGACAGUUUGGUCCUUAUCCGCCGUGGGCGCAGGAAAUUUGAAGAGAUUAAUCCUUAGUACGAGAGGACCAGGAUUAACGUGCCUCUGGUGUUCCAGUUGUUCUGCCAAGAGCAUCGCUGGGUAGCUACGCACGGGAAGGAUAAGCGCUGAAUGCAUCUAAGUGCCAAGCCCCCUCUGAGAUAAGAUUUCCCUAUGGCCUUGUGCCAUCUAAAGGCUCGUUCUAGACUAGGACGUUGAUAGGCUGGGCGUGGAAGUACAGUGAUGUAUGGAGCUAACCAGUACUAAUUAGCCGUGAGGCUUGAUCUU